CGGACUCGAGGAUGCAGUGUUCGAUGUGGUCCAGUCUUCAACGCGUUUAAUGUCAGCUAGUCUGUAUGUUGAACAGUUUUAUGGGUCGCUAAACUCCAAUGAACAUGUAUUGGAAAUUGACACGUUGGAAAUCAAUGACUGCCAGCUAUCUACUGAGAUAACCAAACCGUUGUGGUCCUGCCUCAGAUCCUUCACCUCACUGAGCCAGCUCAGCAUCUCAGACUCCUCUCUCAGUUUCCCCCCAUCUCCUCAUGAGCUUCCAUCCGUCACAAAGCUAUCAACCAAGAGAGUGACGUCAC